ensembl:lncRNA
CUGACAGGUGUUCUGCCAGCUAUGAAGAACAGAACUCAUGAGCUGCCUCAUUGUGAAAGACGUUCUUUUCCAGUAACAACAAAGGAAGUCUUCCACCCAGCAGUAUGAAGGUAGACCAUUCUCUAUAAGCAGGAAAGGCAAACACUGGUCUGCCUCUUCUGGAGUGCCGUGCUUCAGGAUUAGCGACAGACAGACCUUCUGCAGCUCACGACAUUUACCUACUGUAUUUUCUUUAACAGCUGAAGUAAUGACAUCUUAUUGACAGCACAGCAGAGCAAACAAUGUCUUACUGAAAGCUUCAGUGCUGGAUUUGGGCCGUCCUAAGGACCUGAGACCAAGUAAAAUUUAUGAGUCCAAAAUGUUUUAUAUUGCACAACCAGGGAAACAGAAGACCUUGGGAAGUUUCCCACAAACAGGUUUAAAAGCCUGAGAAAAGCUGGAGGGAAGCAUGUUCACCUGAGGCUCAGAAAAAUCAGAGUGAGAUCCUUAUGUCAAUGUAUAAUUAUCUAAAAUGACAAUAUAAAAUCAUUUUAUUAGAGGAAAUUCUGGAGUCCUUUUCAGCCAGUGUCCAGUAGUUGGAUAAGCUUGAAGGUAAGAAGCUUGAAGGUAAGAAGGUCUUGUUUGAAUCAAGAUCUUCAGCAUCCCAGGAUGGGUAAUGGUCAUGCACCCAAAGCAAGAAGAAGAGGAGAGACAUUCCUCCCUGAUAGUCUUUUCCCUUCUCCUCCUCCUGUUUCCUCCCAGCUUAGAGCAGAAAUGCAAUAGUUUAGCCAAGAACAUUUCUGCAAGAGUUUCUGUGUGACAAUAACAAAAAAAUAUAUUUUAUAUGAACAAACUCAGUGUAAAUUAAUUCAUUUUUUGAUGAAAAUACAAAUGAAAAGAAUCUGAGUAGGUAAGAUUUUUCCUCCCAUAGAAAUAUGUGAACAAAUAAAUACAUGUAGAUCUAAAAUCUAUGGAUUUUAACAGAGUGAAAAUUUGCAUUAAUCUACAAAACCCUGCUGCUGAAGUAUUGUUGCUAAAGUAUAUAUAAGACCAUAACAUACAGGAGGUAUCACCAGAAGCCAUAGCUUUGUCAUGCAAUUUGGCUGAAAUCUAGAAGUAAAGUAGUAAAAAUACAGAUGUCAUGUGACCCUUUCCCAUUAGUGACAUUAUCUCGUAAUUUGAAUCAUAGAAUUAUAGAAUGGCCUGGGUUGAAAAGGACCACAAUGAUCAUCGAGUUUCAACCCCCCUGCCAUGUGCAGGGUCGCCAACCACCAGACCAGGCUGCCCAGAGCCACAUCCAGCCUGGCCUUGAAUGCCUCCAGGGAUGGGGCAUCCACAGCCUCCUUGGGCAACCUGUUCCAGUACGUCACCACCCUCUGUGUGAAAAUUUGAGUCUAUUCAUAGUUCAGAAGUGGGUUACCAUCUGAGAUUAAAAAUUUUAACUGUCAAAGAGAGUUGAUUUUAAGAUUUUCAUUCCCCUUUUAGGUGAAUUUUAGUGUUUAUAUCUGCCAGGAAUGUGGGUUUGGUUUUUAUCCUUGCUGCUCCUGAGCUUUGAGGAAAACCUGAUCAGCACUUUAUACUUUAUUUUUUUUUUUAGUAAUUUAUAGAAGGAUGGAAAGACCCAUUGCUUUUAUAUCAUUGAGUAAAAAAAAAAACUACGUAGGUACCGAGUGUUUCUUUUGUUUUGCACAUGUAAAUGUAAGUGUUUAGAGGGAUUUUUAGAUGAUCAUAGAUGUGCUUUUGGAUCUAAUUCUUAAGUAUGUACCAAAUGUGACUUAACAAAUUUUCAAGAUUGUAAGUUGGAGAAAAGCACAAUAUGUAAUGACCUUACCUUCAACACACAUGAACAGACAACACUCGAGUACUCCCUUUGGAUACUUAUUUUGGACACUUAGCUCACUUGCAGUGUCUGCAAAAUUUUCUGAUACACAUUUCACGUUUGUUAGUGGUGAUUUUAGACUACAGAUAUGAGCAGAAGGUGCUGCAGGAGGCAAAGCACUAACCCACACUGCUUUGGAUUUCUUCUCGAAUCUCCUUUCCUCAUUGCAAAACCAGACCGGUUUUAAUCACUCUAGCACAAGUGUGCAGUGCCUCGGGAUAGCCCGGGGUGAGCUGUGCUCCCGCUGCAGGAAUUGCUGUGCGCUGCCCGCUCCUGGCACCAUGGGGGCCCUGCAGCACCACAUGGCCUCUGAAGGCAUCUUCCAGUCUUGGAGGGUUUUCUGACCCCAUGCUGUGCUGCCAGCAGAGCCAUCUCUUUUGGAAGUUUUUUAAAUUAUCCCGGGUACUGCUGACUGGAAAGUUUUCAACAGUACGUAUUCUUUUCAGAAAAUAAAGUAAAAUAAAAUAAAAUAAAAUAAAAUAAAAUAGAAUGCCAGUUCAUCAAAAAAGGAACUUUAAACAGAAGUCUGUUGAGAGCAAAAUGAGAGAGAUGAGACAAAGAUCAUUUUCCUUCGAGAAAGUGGAAUUUCUGCUCUAGUCAGGAGAGACUGAAAGCCCUGGCCCCGCACAGCAGCAUCCUUACCUGCAAUAACCAUUACCUUCACAUCUGUGCAACUCAUCUGGCAGAAACAGCCUGGGGUUGAGUCCCCGACACACAGAAUCCAAAUUAGAUCUGUUAUUUCUACAGCCAGAUAAGAAGGCGAUGCUGCUACAACGGCCCACCACACCAUCAAUCUCAGUGCUGCGCUUUCCCCAGUCACACUUGCAUUCCUGUGUUGAAAGAACCACUGCAGCACUGCAAGAUCUGUCUUUGUUCCACAUUUUCUCAUAUAUUAAUAUGUUGGAUGCCAUUAUCCUGGGGAAAACUGGCUGUUUGCAAGAGCUCCAUUUCAGUAGUAGCUUUUCAAGACUUUUUUGGUCGUACAACUUAAAAAUCAUACCAUCAAUAGCAUUUCUCAUAAAAUGGAUGCCACCAGCCCACAAACACCCUCUGUGAUGGCCAUUUGGAGACAUGAGGAGGUCACAGCCACCAUGAGAUACCCUUGCAGAGCUGGCAGCACUAGGGCUGAGGUUGCAAUCCCCAUGAAGGUAGCCCUGAGGUGGUCAGUGGAUGGAGGGUCUAACCCUAUCCUUUUGGGUCUAACCACACCUGCCAGGAGAUGUUUUUGAGCCUUCAUUUUCAAGUUCCCCACAGCAUCCACAGUACCACUGGUAUGCAGCAUAUGGCCUGUGCAGUAACAAAUGAGGAGAUUUUAAAGGGACUUUUCUAAGCUUUGUGACCCACCCAGAACCAGGUGAUGCUGUCAUCCUCCCAAAGUUAAACUUGUUCCCUCACACUUUUGUGAUCUGGGUAUGUCUCUCUUGGACUAGUAAAUGGUAAUUUAAUGGGUUGUUUCCUCCAAUAUCCCACUUGUGCCGGUUAAAUGCAAUACAAUUUACCUGUCUGAUGGAUCAGGAGAGCAAUUCCUCCUCAUGUAAUGUGAAGCUUAUAAGUCCCAUACCUCUGCUCUGCCCAUAAAGGUGCAAUAUAGAGUUUCUCUGUUCUUUCAUAAGACAGGGCAAAUAGGAACAAGGCAGCAGCUGGGUAGUUUUCUUCUAUAUUCAUUUAUUUAUCUGUUGCACUCCUGAUUUUUGGUGCUUCACGUUUGCUGCUGCUGUAGUGAAGCCAAGACACACACACACACAUCUCCUCAUUCCUACAGCUCCAUGUAAAGCCAGCCUUAGUGAAGCUUAGCACUGCCUGUAUGUCGAAGGGAUACCUGCUGGCAGCCAGCAGCAGAGUCCAUUUCUAAAUUGAGGUGUGCACUGAAAAUGGGCUGCAAAAUAAUGCUGUUAGUGAGCAUGUUAAAGAGGAGCAGUUAUUAGCAGUCUUUCAGCUGAGUGCUAAGCUGUACUGAACAGAAUAAGGACAAGAGCAUUUCAUAACUGAGGCAGUACAAGUUACAUUAUAAAUUUCAAUGUCAUGCUACACAGUUACAUUAAAUUAUUUUCCCCAUAUUUUGAGUUAUCCCCUCUUUCCUUAGACAGGGCAUUCUCCUAUGCAAAAUCAUUACAAGCCUAUUAGCAUGAAAAGGCAAAUGUCUAUGAAUAUUAAUAGAAUAUGAAUGCAUACUGUUACACUUGUCCUCCUCCCUUUGUAUGGGCCAGGCCCAUUUCCAGAGGUGGGCUGACAGUGCAGGAGUGGAGCCUGGCUGACCCUCCUCGCUUUUAGCAGUGUGGGCAUCUUUGUAGGUUAACCUUUGCAUCCAUAUGCUGAGGUGCUGAUUAUGAGUCUCCAAUUGUGAAAAUCUCUUAAGAUAGAAAGGUGGUGGUUUCUGUCUUCUUCCUUCCAGCUGACUUGAGACAAUUUUUCACAGUCUAAAAGCAGAUUACUUUUAUUCUGGAAAAGAACAAUAUGGAAGACAUCAAUAGAUAUCUCCUCUACAAACCAUUUCAAGUGGAAUGACAUGAAUUGGGCGAGAAACAUGAGAAGUAAAAAAUCAAAUAAAAAGAUAGCAAAAAGUACGGCCAAAAAAAAAAAAACAAGAAAAAAGAAAAAGAAAGAGAAAGAGAAAAGAAAAAGAAAAAGAAGAAAAAGAAAAAAAAAAAAGAAAAAGAAAAAAGGAAAAGAAAAAGGAAAAGAAAAAGAAAAAGAAAAAGAAAAAGAAAAAGAAAAAGAAAAAGAAAGAAAAAGAAAAAGAAAAAAGGAAAAGAAAAAGGAAAAGAAAAAGAGAAAGAAAAAGAAAGAAAAAGAAAUAAGGAAAAGGAAAAGAAAAAGAAAAAGAAAGAAAAAGAGAAGAAGAAGAAAGAAAAAGAAACUAAGCUGAGUGUCUCACAUCUAAAAGUGGAACCCAAUUGUCACUUGCUGCAGUGACAGUCAGUUGGCUCAGAUCACCAUCCAAGCAGAUGAGUGUUCCUGUUUUUUUGUCAUGUUAUGUUUCUGACUGCAGUGUGACCACAUCAGCUCAGCAGAGCCCAAGGCAAAUAAAUACCAGCGGUAGGAAUGGCAGGGUGCAAAGUGCUUCAUUCAGAGGAAGCAACGAACUGCUAGGACAGCUCAAGACAUGUAAUGUAUUUUAGCCUGUUUAUCUUUGUGGCUUUCAAGCUUUGAUGACUCCGGUGUUACAUUAGUUCAUAAAUGAUUAAAAAAAAAAAUGCAUGUGGUCUUUUCAGCCAUAGGAAUGGCUUGUGCAGAGAUGUAACUAAGACAGAAGAGCACAGGAAGAGCCCUUUUAAAAACAUAGUCCACUGUGUGACAUGAAAUUAUUUGCACAAGUUUCUCUUCCAAGCAGUGCCUUGCUGGUUUUGAACUCAAGGAGUUGAAGAGAACAGCCUAAAAAUGGCUUAGAAAGGAAGGAAGGCUGCCUGAACUGCCUAUACUCAACCAUUUCAGACUCAUGGAAAUUACUCUCUAUAUGCUGAACCUAGGCCAUUGGUUCACUCCCUCUAAUCCACUGUGAACAGUAUAUUGUUCUACUUCUAUGACAUAAAAAAAAGAAAAAUAAGUGACUGAUACAAACAACAUACCAAACAAAUCACUGGACAGACAUGUCCAACCUGCAGCAUGCGGCCUGCUGCAGCCCAUGGGCCGCAUGCGGCCUGGCACAUCUCGCCAUGUGGCCGCCCUCUGCCCCUCGCCAUCAUGGUGGCAGCUCUGCCCCAUGCACACCCAUCACUUAUCAAUUACCAAACACCAGUGCUUUAUUAACCCCAUCUGGGCUGAAACCGGGGCAUGGAGAGAGCACAGUGCAGUGCCUGCUCAAGUUAUGGUAAAUAAGUUUAUGGAUUUUCAUACAUUCGCAAAACACAGUCACAGUGAACAGCAAAAAAUAUGCAGCCUUGCUUUCCAUUUUGAUACAGGAAUUUGAGAACAGGUUUCAAGAUUGCAAAAAAAAAAAUCCCAAUUUUUUUUUUUUUUGUUUAUUUGUGACUCCUUUUUCAGUUGACAUAAAUACAUGACCUGCAAAUUUUCAAAUGAAAUGCACAGAGUUGCAAUCAGAUAUUCAACUGAAAAACUUGAUCAUGUCUCUCUACUGGACUUUCAUAAGCCCUCUUUUAUCAGAGAGAAAUAUCCUUCACUUCACAGUCACUCCUUAUCCAUGUCAUCACUGUUGGCAGUACGUAUAUUUGUGAACAACUGUUUUCAAAGAUGAAUCACAGGAAGAAUAAAAUUUCAUCAAAAAUCUCUGACAAACACCUUGAGAACUCAAUGAGAACGGCAACCACUGCCAUCGAAUCACUGCCAACCUGAUGCAUUAGUUUCACAGAAACAAGAUCCAAUAUCCCUCUAGUUUUAUGGUUUUGUUGCUCUCCUUUUUAUGUUUUAAUAAAAAAUAUUAAAAAAUAACAUGUUUUAUUACUUAUAUAUACAUUCACUAUACUAGUAGAUUUUAUGAGGACUGCUCCAAAAGUAGAACCUCCUUUAUUUUAUUUAUGCUGCUUUAUUAUGUUGGCCCACAGUAUUAGAGGAGGAUGUUGGUUGUUUGAAAGUAGAGGCUGAACCAUCCCACUGGUAUUCCAUUGUAUUUUGUUGUUGUGCGACAGAUGGCAGCAGAGGGGCGGUCUGACUGAAUGGCACCUGACGUGCAUAUGAGGUAAAGCUGUGUCACUGAAUUCCUCCAUGUGGAAAAAAAUUGCACCCAUUAACAUUCAUCAACACUUGUGAAUGUUUCUGGAGACCAAACAGUGGAUGUGAGCACAGUGAGGCAGUGAGUGGUGCAUAUAAGCAGUGGCAACAGCAACAGUGGGUCACCGCCACCAGUGCAGAUUUUUACAAGCAUGGCAUGCAGGCAAUUGUUCAUCACUAAUAAAAAUGCAGAGCUAAUGGUGGUGACUAUGUUGAAGAAUAGUGUUCUGCAGCUGAGAACUGGCUCUAUCAAAUAGUGUUACUGUGCUUUUGUAUCGAUUGUAGUUUCCACAGAAAUGAAUAGGAGGCAUUACUUUCAGAACAACCUACAUACAUACACCCAACACAAUUUUUCUUUCCUCUGUGCAGCCUGGGUAAGUCAAAAGGUUGGACACCCAUGCCCAAGGAGGUCUGUAAAGAGUACGUUUUGGUGAGGAAACAGUGAAAUGGUGAGGAGGUAGGUCAGAAACUGUUUGAGAGACUAGUUAAAGGAAUAAAAAAAACCCUCAGACCUUCCCCAAACACAAUGGAAGCCAGCAGCCUGAUAGGUAAUCGAUAAGGCCCAGGGGGCUUUCAGAAAGGGAAAAGUUAAGUGGGCUCUAAAUACUGAAGAGCAUUUCAGGGAGAUUCCCAUAGCAUGGGCUUUCCUGGUGAGAAGAAAAUAGGAGUAACUCAAAUUUAGUAGAGAAAGAUUUAGAACAGAUCAAUAAAAUAAGCAGUAAUUAAUCAGCAGGACUGUAUUAUAUUUCCCCAGGGCUGUAAAAGACCCGCUAGCUGCAGUGCACAACCUACCACUUAACAGGUGUUCAGGGAAUAAAACGUGGCAAAGGUGAUCCCAGCUCUGGAGAGGAAAAUUAGGAGAGGUCCAGAGAUUAACAGAUCCAUAAUGAUGACUUGGAAACACUAACCUGGGAAAAUUACGAUGAAGCAUAUCAUUAAAAGAUCUAGGAUAAACAUGAUACAAAGGGAAGAAAGUAUAGUGGCUUCUGUGGAGAGAAAAUCUUGCCUCAUAAAUCCAUUGAGCUCCUUUGAAAGUGUCAGUGUGAUCACAAGUUGUGGUGGUGUGUUAGUGCUACAGGAUGCCUGUGUUUGCAGAAAGGUUUUGACAAGAUCAAGAGGGUAGAUAAAUGAAGAUCUCAUAGUGAGUCAAGAAGAAGGAGUAGGAGUAAAGGAUUUUUUUUUUUUUUUUUUUUUUUUUUUCCACAAAAAGAGUGAUUUCCAAGGGAGUCCCACCAUCAUCUACAAACAGCGUAGCAAAGGUUACUGAUGUUGUGAACUUUAGGACAAUAUAGACUAAAGCUGACUGCAGAGUGUCACAGGAACAGCUUUCAGUCUAACACACAGAAUUACUCUCACCUAAUUGUGGACAUCUUCAACAUAGGUGUUAGAGAAACUGAGACACCUGAGGCUCGUUAGUAAUCAGUGGAAAGAGGUAUUUCUGAGACUGGAUUCCUCUGAUGUGUAAGAGACAGUUACAUUAGAAUUUGAGGAAUCAGCUCUAGAAAUGCCUCUUUCUAUCCACUUUCACAGUGAAAUGGGAAUGCAUGGCUGAGGCCAUUCAUCUACAUUUAGCCCGAUGGACCUGCUCUGAAUGUGCAGGCAGUAAAAUAGCAGACAAAAUUCAAUGUCAAUAAAUGUAAAGCAGUGAACAUGGAGGAAAACAACCUUAACUACAUAUAUAUAAUUUAAUGGGUUUUAAAUUGGUUAUUACCACUCAGAAAAGAGAACUAGGAGUUACUGCUGAUAAUUCUAUGUGGAAAGCUCUCAGUUCACUGUUAUCAGUGCUCAAAAAGUUCCUAGGAAAGGCUUAAAAUCAAAACAGAAACUAAAUGGUGGCACUGUGAAAAUGGUGCAUCCCUCCUGUUUCAGUGGGGACAGUUCAGGCCCCAUCAUUUCAAAAAUCAUGGUAAAAAUGGUACAGGUGUAGGACAAAGGCAAGAGGGUUGCCCAAAGGUUGGAACACCUUUUGAAUGGGGAAAGGUACAACAAGGAGGACUCAUCAUUACUGGGACCAAUGCUCUUUAAUAUCUUCAUCAAAGCCAUGAACAGUGGAUUGAGUGCACCCUCAGCAAGCCUGUAGACAACACCAAGCUGAGGGAUGGGAUGCCAUCCAGAGAGACCUAGAUAAGCUGAAGCAGUGGGCCCAGGUGAUCAUCAUGAUGUCCAACAAAGCCAAGUGCAAGCUCUUGCACCUGGGUCAUAGCAACCCUGCCUAUCAAUACAAGCUGGGGAAUGUAAGAAUAGAGCACAGCCCUGCCAAAAAGGACCUGGGGGUACAGGUGGAUGGCAAGCUGAGCAUGAGCCAGCAAUGUGCCCUUGCAGACCAAAAAGUCAGCCGUAUACCCUGGGAUGCAUCAAAAGAAAUGUGGCCAGCAGGGCGAGAGAGGUGAUCCUGCCCCUCUACUCUGUGCUGGCAAGACCUCACCUGGAGCACUGCAUCCAGAUGUAGAGUGCUCAGUACAGGAGAGACACAGACCUGUUGGAGCACAUCCAGAAGAGGGCCACAGAAGUGAUUCAAGGGACGAAACACCUCUCCUACAAGGACAGGCUGAGAGAGCUGGGAGUAUUCAGCCUGGAGAAGAGAAAGCUCUGGGGAGCCUUUCAGUAUCUAAAGGAGAGCUGUAAGAAAGAAGGGGACAGACUCCUUAGCAGGGUCUGUUGUGACAGGAAAAGGGAAAAUGGUUUCAAACUAAAAGAGAGAAGAUUUAGACUGUAUAUAAGGAGGUUUUUUGUGGUAAGGGUAGUGAAGCACUGGAACACUGGAAAAACUGCAUAUUCGCUGCACUGACAGAUAUAAAUCAGGGACAAGAUGUUCCCUUUGUUUAGACAGGUUAUUCAGAGCUGCCUAUGUCUAGCAAAAGGCCGGUAAGUGAUCUGCCAGGGCUUCCCUUAAUGGCCAGAGUUUAAAAGGGUCCCAAUAAGGCACAGCAAAGCAGAACUGUGGCUGAGGACAGGACGUACUGAAACCCACCCAGGUGGAUCUACCAGAUUGACUGGGGACCACAGCAAAGGACCUCAGUGGAACCCUACAAAACCAAUCCAUAUAUCUUUAUAUUUGAUAUAUAACAUACUUUAUAUAAAUACAUAAUAUAUUUUUUUAACUCUGCAUACAGGCAUUUGGAAAAAUGUCUAAGCUGCUGCUUGGAGAUUGAUUCUUCAAAACUGCCAAAACUGCAAAUCCACUAAUGUGCCACAGAAAUUGAGAAUUAGCAGUGUCUGCCUUGGAGAUCUUCCAAACACAGAGAUAAUACUACGAAAAAAAUGGCAGAAAAGAAAUGAGAAAGAACUAGAAAUCUUUCACGUCCUUCACAGUGGAUAUACCACAGCUCCAUGCAGGAAGGAGUGUGGAUGUGUUUCUGCUUCCCUUGUGUCCCCCCAGUCCCACAGCACCACUGCUGGCACUGAAACCUUCGGCACACUGUGAGGAACCUACCCAGCCCCUCCAUGGGGACAUGCGGCACAAAGCCACUGCAGCAUUUUAGUUGGGCUCUCCCUUCUUCAGGAACUCAUGCUGGAUGAUGUCAACCUUUGUGGUUAACAGCUUAUUUAAUAAAAUAUUGAUUUUUUUUUUCCCCUCGUGCUGUAGGAAAUAAGACCUUCAAGCACGUUGAUGAAGUACUUUAGUUUCCUUAAAUUCUUUCCAGGGUCUUAACUGAAAGUCUGAAUCCUAAACUAGACGUUUCCCAUUCAUUUAUGCUCACAUUUCCUGCAAGUCCUAUAAAGUAUGUGCACCAAGUUGGCCGAUGAAGGAGCACACCACAACUUUUUUGAUUUCUCCAGAGGUAGAGGUCCACCAUCAGCUGUGCAUGGAAAAAUCUAUGAGUGUGAUUUUGAGAGGAAAAAGCCCUUACAAACAGCACUGGGGUAAAGCAUGGGGCAAAGCAUCAAUAUCUGUAAUAGCUUCUUGCCGACCAAAACUAAACAAAGUGGAAAUGAAAUGGUUUGUAUAUCUCACACAAGAAGCAUAUGUAAUUUGGAUAGUGUAAACUGCAAUUAAGCAGUGCAUGUGAGAAACAUACAUCAUUUGCAUCUCAUUAAUGAAUAAUAAAAUUAGUAUUAGAGAUGAGGAUGUACUACAAGCUGAGGUAUAGAGAUUUGGUUUAUCCCUAAAACAAAGAUUUUGAAAACAGAAACCAUUACAUUUUUAAAUAAUAAAGGAAAAUAAAGAGUAUCUGUAGGGUUCUGAAACAGUAUUUAACUGAAGGCCUAAUUUUCUAAAAUACAGAACAAAAAGACACUAUAAAGACUUUAUUUCAAGAAUACACAUGGUAUUCCUAAUAGUGUUCACUAUAAUGCAGAAUGGUACUAAGGAGUAACAGUACGCCUUGCUGAUGACAUCUAGGAAUUGUACCUGUACUGAUAAAUUCUGAAAUGAAGUAGCAUCAUCUGAAAUACAGAAACCUCAGUUUAAAAAUUUCUUUAUCUGCUAAGUUUGUAAUUUAAUCUUUCACAAAAUAAAUGGAUUGAAAUCAAAUUCUGCUUUUUUUUUUUUUUUUUUUUUU